CAGUCGCCACGGGAAUACGAAGGGGGCUAGCGUUGCUCGGAAUGACUGGGCGUAAAGGGCGCGUAGGCGGAUGGCACAGUCAGAUGUGAAAUUCCCGGGCUUAACCUGGGGGCUGCAUUUGAUACGUGUUGUCUAGAGUGAGGAAGGGGGUCGUGGAAUUCCCAGUGUAGAGGUGAAAUUCGUAGAUAUUGGGAAGAACACCGGUGGCGAAGGCGGCGACCUGGUCCUUGACUGACGCUGAGGCGCGAAAGCGUGGGGAGCAAACAGGAUUAGAUACCCCCGUAGUCCCUGUCUCUUAUAC
rnacentral:rRNA from 1 species